UACGUAGGCAGCGAGCGUUGUUCGGAGUUACUGGGCGUAAAGGGCGCGUAGGCGGCCCGCUAAGUCGAACGUGAAAUCCCCGAGCUCAACUCGGGAACUGCGUCCGAUACUGGCGGGCUUGAAUCCGGGAGAGGGAUGCGGAAUUCCAGGUGUAGCGGUGAAAUGCGUAGAUAUCGGGAAGAACACCUAUGGCGAAGGCAGCUCUCUGGGACGGUACUGACGCUGAGACGCGAAAGCGUGGGGAGCGAACAGG
rnacentral:rRNA from 1 species